CUUUAAGGUUGUAAUUUUAAACGAAAACGUGCUUAAACAGUUUUACGAAUGUUCUUCUUCUUUCUCCUGUUUUUGCUAGCAGAAAAAGCUCAUUCUUGUUCAUCCAUUCAAGAUGCGAACUUCACGCGAAUAAUUAGCCAUUCGGAUAACAUCGGAUACGGAUGUUACACACAAUUAAUAAAAAUAAAAUAGAUAAUUACCGUGUAUCGUAAUCUGGCUCUAUGGUUUGAAUCUUGAUAUUUUAUGGAUCGAGUAAAAAAAACUAAUGAUAUGUCUCUGCAUAUUCGAAUGAAGAAAUAGAGAGAUCGUAAAA